rnacentral:rRNA from 1 species
AGUGAACGCUGGCGGUAGGCCUAACACAUGCAAGUCGAACGGCAGCACAGUAAGAGCUUGCUCUUACGGGUGGCGAGUGGCGGACGGGUGAGGAAUACAUCGGAAUCUACUUUUUCGUGGGGGAUAACGUAGGGAAACUUACGCUAAUACCGCAUACGACCUACGGGUGAAAGCAGGGGAUCUUCGGACCUUGCGCGAUUGAAUGAGCCGAUGUCGGAUUAGCUAGUUGGCGGGGUAAAGGCCCACCAAGGCGACGAUCCGUAGCUGGUCUGAGAGGAUGAUCAGCCACACUGGGACUGAGACACGGUACAGACUCCUACGGGAGGCAGCAGUGGGGAAUAGGGGACAAUGGGCGCAAGCCUGAUCCAGCCAUAACGCGUGGGUGAAGAAGGCCUUCGGGUUGUAAAGCCCUUUUGUUGGGAAAGAAAAGCAGCAGGUUAAUACCCCGCUGUUCUGACGGUCCCCAAAGAAUAAGCACCGGAAAACUUCG